rnacentral:rRNA from 1 species
AGAGUUUGAUCCUGGCUCAGGGUGAACGCUGGCGGCGUGCUUGACACAUGCAAGUCGAACGGUAUGUGGCAACACAUAGAGUUGCGAACGGGUGAGUAACACGUGGGAACGUAUCUUUUGCAGGGGGAUAACUGACCGAAAGGACAGCUAAUACCGCAUAAGUCCGAGAGGAGAAAGGUGCAAAAGCAUCGGCAGAAGAGCGGCCCGCGGUCCAUCAGCUAGUUGGUGAGGUAAGGGCUUACCAAGGCGACGACGGAUAGCCGGCGUGAGAGCGUGGCCGGCCACAAGGACACUGAGAUACGGGUCCUACUCCUACGGGAGGCAGCAGUGCGGAAUUUUAGAUAAUGGAGGGAACUCUGAUCUAGCGACGCCGCGUGCAGGAAGAAGGUCUUCGGAUUGUAAACUGCUGUGGUAAGGGAAAAAUGCUAUGUAGAGUGGAAAGCUACAUAGAGGGAUGGUACCUUACUAGAAAGCCCCGGCUAACUACGUGCCAGCAGCCGCGGUAAUUACCGCGGCUGCUGGCACAGCUACUCCCCAUUGUGAUCCUGCUGCCCCUGCUGGGGCUGGGCCUUACCAAAAUAUUGGAAAGUCGAGUCAUCUACCCGGCACUGGCAAAUGAACUGAUUGGCUAGGGUCAUCUGGUAGCACGUCUGAGCCAGGAUCAAACUCUA